rnacentral:rRNA from 1 species
AACGAACGCUGGCGGCAGGCUUAAAACAUGCAAGUCGAACGGGUGUAUCAAUACAUCGGUGGCAGACGGGUGAGUAACACGUGGGAACCUUCUUAGGGGUACGGAACAAAUCAGGGAAACUUGAGCGAAUACCGUAUAUGUUCGCGAGGAGAAAGAUUUAUCGCACUUAGACGGGGCCGCGUCGGAUUAGCUAGGUGGUGGGGGAACGGUCUACCAAUGCGACGAUCCGUAGCUGAUCUUAGAGGAUGAUCAGCCACACUGGAACGCAGACACGGCCCAGACUUCGACGUGAGGCAGAGGUGGGGAAUCUUGGACAAUGGGCGCAAGACUGAUCCAGCCAUGCCGCGUGAGUGAAGAAGGACUUCGGAUUGUAAAGCUCUUUUGCUAGGGACGAUAAUGACGGUACCUGAAGAAGAAGCCCCGGCAAACGUCGUGCCAGCCGCCGCAGUAA